CCCAUUUUCUGUGCUUCGUUUUAGGUUAGGUUAAGCGAUUGAAUUUGACGGAUAUUGGUAUAUGCGAAGCACAUACACGUGACAAAGCUCUUGGUGAGAAGUUUUUUUUUCAUUUUUUAAUUUAAUAUUCAACCGUCACGGUAGAUGGCACCUCUGUGUCUAUCUCUUACGUUCUUUGCUCCGUGUUUAGUCGAACGUAAUAUUCGUUUCAAUUCGUUACAGGACCAUUGUCGGUUCGAAAAUCGUCAGCGUUUCAAAGUCAUCGAUAGAGGGACGAGUAAUGCGAGGAAAACGUUUCGAACGAGAGUUGGAGGACGCACUAACGAGAGGAUUUAGUGGACCGUUUUUACUCGAGACAUCCCUGUGAACGAUUUUCUUUAAGCGUUCGUUAGAAUCGGCUGCAGGUUAGACGACCUAAAGAAUGUUGGAAGAAUUGGAUGAAUAUAGACCAUGAAAUAGGAAGCGUGUUAUUUGUGGAUCCCGAACAUCUAUUUCCAGAAUCUUAAUGAAUCAAGAAAAAUUUCUUCCGUUACUUUACAUAUAAUUUCUCACUGCUGUUACUUCUGUUAUAAUGGAAAUAUCAAGCGCAAAACCCAUGCGAAUAUAGAAAAUUACUCAGGCAUGUCGGGGAUUCGCGUACCGCAACGACGAGGAGGCUCUCUUUCUUAGACACGCCAUAUCCUUUAAAAAGGUACGUCGCCAUUGUCAGACCGCAUAUGCGCGCCCUUCCGUAGCGAAAGGGUUGCUCUUUCGCGGAGACUGACUUGAAAGCGCCUUCGCUUUGCGUUCCCGUCGAGAUUGAGACGUGAAACCAUUUGAAUUACUACGAAUGCGCGAUGGAAGUCACGGAUCAUUUCGAAUGUUAUUUCUUCGGUAUAGUGACGUGAACUCGAUACUCGUGUACAAUAUACGGAUAUUUUGAUUCGAUACAAAAUAUCGUUGCUUGGUGAUACGGAGAGAUAUCGAAAGAUUUGUACGAAUUUUAAGAAUUCGUUUUGAGAUUCCUCGAUAUAAAACAGAAGGUUACGCAAUGUAAUCUAUAUCGAUGCAAUAUUGUGCAAUAAUGUAAAUUGACAAAAUAAUAAUUCCAUUUUAAAAAAGUAUAUUUUGGACAAAUAAAUACAAUUAAAAAAUAUCUUUAAUAUACUUCACACUUUUAAAUAGCAC